CGAUGAAGAGCGCAGCUAACUGUGUGAAUUAAUGUGAACUGCAUACUGCUUUGAACAUCGACAUCUUGAACGCACAUUGCGGCCAUGGGUUUACUCAUGGCCACGCCUGUCCGAGGGUCGGCU
rnacentral:rRNA from 1 species